UACAGAGGUCCCAAGCGUUGUUCGGAUUCACUGGGCGUAAAGGGCUCGUAGGCGGCCAACUAAGUCCGACGUGAAAUCCCCAGGCUUAACCUGGGAACUGCGUCGGAUACUGGAUGGCUUGAAUUCGGGAGAGGGAUGCAGAAUUCCAGGUGUAGCGGUGAAAUGCGUAGAUAUCUGGAGGAAUACCGGUGGCGAAGGCGGCAUCCUGGACCGACAUUGACGCUGAUGAGCGAAAGCUAGGGGAGCAAACGGGG
rnacentral:rRNA from 1 species